UACAGAGGUCUCAAGCGUUGUUCGGAUUCAUUGGGCGUAAAGGGUGCGUAGGUGGCGCGCUAAGUCAGGUGUGAAAUUUCGGAGCUUAACUCCGAAACUGCAUUUGAUACUGGCGUGCUUGAGGACUGGAGAGGAGACUGGAAUUCACGGUGUAGCAGUGAAAUGCGUAGAGAUCGUGAGGAAGACCAGUGGCGAAGGCGGGUCUCUGGACAGUUCCUGACGCUGAGGCACGAAGGUCAGGGGAGCAAACGGG
rnacentral:rRNA from 1 species